AUCUAAACCUGAUAGAACGGAAAGCCCGGAGGUGAGGUACGAGCCGAGGGCUUGAAGGGAUAGCAGGACUGCUG
rnacentral:sRNA from 1 species